AAAGGAUGCUGCCUGAUUUCACAGCUUGAUGAUGCCAUGAUUUCGGGGCCUGUAUGGCCAUAGCCCAGUUACUCUGCCUCUUAUACUUCUGUGUACUUAUCCACAAAAUAGAGAUAAUAACACUACUUACCUCACAGAGGAGGCCGUGGAAUUAUGCAUGUAAACAACUCAGACAAUGCCUGGAAGGAAAGCCAGCCAGGUUAACUAUUAACAUGAAGCCUCCUUGUAUCACCCUAGGAACUCUCCACACCUCUGAGCUUUGCCUUAAGUCUUGUCUUCAAACAGCCAUCUUGUUUGGAGCUCGGCCUCUGCACCUGACUCUCCCUCUUGACCAGAGGCUCCAGACAGUGAAUAUUGGCUUUAACAGCAAUUGGGAGUUCUGUGCCCAUGUAUGGAACACAGAUGAAGCUUUUCUCUUAUUCUUCUGGGGCUCCGUAUCCUGACUUAGAAUGUGGGAGCAACUGUGAAGCCCAGGAGUGAGAGCGCUGAGACCUUCUUUGCUCAUGACGUCCCAAAUCUCUCUACUCCGGCUGGGCAGAGCCUGGGAGUGUCCAUCUUGGCUGUCCCUAGUGGAUGCUUGCCUAGGCCGUCCUGGGGAAAACUGAGCCUGACUUGGCUGCUGUUGAGGGACCCCUCUACCCUUAGUUUUCUUUUAUCAGAGCCCCAGGUGCUAUCAGAAUCGUGCUCCUGAGACCCUGCACACUGACUUGGAGCCAAGUGUGUUAGAACAGCCAUAGUUUCAUUCCACAGCUGAAACCCUCAGGGCCUACACCAGCUCUGCUACCACUCAGGAUUCACUUUCUUACCCACGGAACAUUUUCUACGGACUCAGUGCCUUUUUUCCAAAAUAUUCAUAUCUAACUAAAUUAUUACAUGCAUUUCCUGUGAGUUGUCUCAAGUUCUCCUCGGAACAAGGUGAGGAAUAGAUUAAUAUUUAAAAUAAAACAAAGUGCCAGUGUGUGUGUGUGUGUGUGUGUGUGUGUGUGUCUUAGUUUGAAAAUUCCUUAAGGGCAGGGGCCAUGUCUGUUUAUAUAGCACCUGGCACAGUGUCAAAUUAAGGCUUAACAAAUGAAUUCAGAUGAAAAGAGAAAAAGCAGCAGAGACUCUUGGCCUCAGUCCUCCAAACACCCUCUUUGUUAAAGGUACUCAUGCUGACCGCGAAUUCUCAGGCUGCUUCUGGCCAUACAGGUUUGGCCUGUCAACCUCAUCUGUCCCCAUACUGGCCAUAACCUACCUGACCCUUGCACAUACUGAACUCACCAAGGCUACUUUUCAUUCCCAGACAAGCCACAUCCAUGCCUGGUUCGGAGCUUUACCCCUAAACAACCCACCUAGAACAUUGCUGUGGCCUAUCAUGCUUGUUCAAUAUGGCUACACAUUUCCUAAGAAAUGCCACAAGCUGAGGUGUUUGAGGUUCCUGUCCCCACACCUUGGCCCUGUGGGGGUCUCCAGCCUGACAUCUGCACUCCGUGUUCUCCCCACCAUACAUUUUCUCCCUUGCUGAGCUUGUCAUCUCCCAUUCCCUACCAGCUAGCUUAACCUCUCAGUGUUCUCUCCAGCUAAGUGGGCCUGUGGCCAGGAAAGGUGGGAGACAGUGUACCAGUAAAGACAUGCAGGAAGGUACACCCAUCUGUGUUGUGUGUUGUUUGCACCUCCCAUUUCCAGGUGCAAGAAAAAAGAAGCAAGUCUGAGAGGUGAAGGGCCCCUGCAGGGGCCAGUCUUUCCCAUGAACUAGAAUCAGGACAAGACCAAAAAGGAUGGUUAGAAUAGCCAGGUGAGAAUUUGGGAAAAAAACAAUGGCAUUAUUUUAUUAUUCUGUUAUGGAGGAUUGAGCUCAAGAAGUCCUGUAUGGGAGGCGAGCAGUCUUCCACCAAGCUUGGCAUUGACAAGUUAAGUCUUCCUUGCCUGAUGAUUCCAAUUCCUC
rnacentral:lncRNA from 1 species